AUUGAACGCUGGCGGCAUGCCUUACACAUGCAAGUCGAACGGCAGCACGGGUGCUUGCACCUGGUGGCGAGUGGCGAACGGGUGAGUAAUACAUCGGAACAUGUCCUGUAGUGGGGGAUAGCCCGGCGAAAGCCGGAUUAAUACCGCAUACGCUCUACGGAUGAAAGCGGGGGACCUUCGGGCCUCGCGCUUUAGGGUUGGCCGAUGGCUGAUUAGCUAGUUGGUGGGGUAAAGGCCUACCAAGGCGACGAUCAGUAGCUGGUCUGAGAGGACGACCAGCCACACUGGGACUGAGACACGGCCCAGACUCCUACGGGAGGCAGCAGUGGGGAAUUUUGGACAAUGGGCGAAAGCCUGAUCCAGCAAUGCCGCGUGUGUGAAGAAGGCCUUCGGGUUGUAAAGCACUUUUGUCCGGAAAGAAAUCCUUGGCCCUAAUACGGUCGGGGGAUGACGGUACCGGAAGAAUAAGCACCGGCUAACUACGUG
rnacentral:rRNA from 1 species